UGGCAGCCCAGAUCAGGCGGUCUGCCAGAGAAGAAGUAGGAGGAGGUGGGCAAGGUUUCAGUGCAGGUGUUCCUUUAGAGCUUGCUGUUUCAUUGCAUCCUAAACUAUAUCUGUGAAAGUGCAUACUGCUGUCCUACAAUGAGAUACCCAGGAGGCAUAAACAGGAAAUAUUGCACAUGAAGUACUUGGAAUAAAACCAAAGGGCGUGUAAAAUUAGACGCACAAAGCCAAACACACAAGCUCUCAUUUUUCAGCCGGCAGAUGGACACAAUGUGAGCAGACUCACCGGCAGACUUACCAAUGCAUUUCCCUAUGUCUAAAAGAAUAAGUCUAGGGUUAAGAAAUGUUUUCUCUCUUAUUGACCACUGUGUACUUAAAAUACAACGGAGCUGCUGUGACAGAAAAGACAGAGAGAUCUUCCAUAGACCACUAUAUGGUCUCCUGUAAAGAACAUGUGGUGGGUCUUCAUUUGUGUUGUCAUCAAGGAAUCUUUACCUAUAAAAAAAAUGACAACAGCAAAGAUUUCAUCAGUCCAAAUUAUUUCAAUCAAACCUCUUUCAUUACUUGUAAAGAUCCACCUUUUUCAUAUGACUUCACUAUAAACGGUCAAUCCAUUAAACCCGACUCCCUCUCCUCACACCAUUUCCAUUUGUAUAUGAUCUUUUCUCCCCUUUCAUUUUUAGGGCACUUUAUAUCUUUCCAUCUUGUAAUGUCAAAAACAAUUCUCUCAUUACAUUACAGUAGUUAAAGGACAGAAUUAUUUUUUUUCUAACAUGAAACCAGAGUAAAGGCAAAAAUGACUUUUACUUUACUGAUACUUCUAUACCAUUAUUUUGGUUCUUUUUUCCUUUUUUAACAAGGAAAAACAAAACAAAACAAAAAAAAACCUAUUACAUUUUAAAGAAACAAGGAUUUAUAAGCUAGUAUGUCAAAGUGAAGGCUCUCCUUAGAAGAUACUGAUGAAGAAAAAGAGAAUAAUGAAAAUGAAUAGAAGAGCAUUAUAACAAAGAUGAUUUUCUGCCUUUUUCAGUAGAUAGUUAAGCACAGAAGACUGAAAAGAAUUAUUUGGAGAUUUACUUUUUGGUCAGAAAGGACAUAGUUUAAACAUAUUUUGUUCUUAUACUCUACAUCCUUUUGCAUCUCUUGGCUUCAGUGAUAGAGCUAAAGUUGAUACUGUUUUUGAAAGCUGACUAAAGGCAAUAGAGGAAGAUUGUAUUGCCAUGGUCAUAAAUUAUAACUAUGCUUAUGGGGAACAGAAUUAAAGUAAUAGAAGGCUCUUAAACAGUGAAAACAAAUUCCAUUGGCUGCAAAUUGAAUCAAGACAAUUUCAGAUAGGAAUUGAGCAUACAUUACUUAAUGAGGAGGAAAACUAAUUGUUAGACAAACAAUAUUCUGUUCCAGUGACUUCUCCAUUACAUUAAAAUUUUAAAUUAAUUAACAAGUUAAAGGCCUUUUCUAUCCAUAAUUAGAACUGUGUAUAAACCUGUUUUUGCAGCACAAUAAAAAUCCAUUUGAUCUGAAAAUUUUCUAUUUACUUGCCUAAAUAGAAAAAUCAAAAAAAUAUAUAUUUUUUUCUUUGUUUCAAUUAUCAGUAAAAGCAUGACAAAAGGAAAACAAAUGGAUAAAUUUAACUACUAGUCAUAGAUUUGGCAAAAUAUAGCUGCUCUUAAACCAAGUCAGAAAUUCAGCAAUUACAGCCAUUGCCUUGAAAUUGGAAGACUGUCUCAGGUAGAAAAUGGAUUGGAAAUUGUGUGUCCUCUGUCACACCUGUGCUGUUGAAUAUUCUGAGGUGAGUUUCUCUUUGUUAAAUGUCAUUGACUAACCUAGAAAAAAAAUA